rnacentral:rRNA from 1 species
UACGUAGGGACCAAGCGUUGUUCGGAUUUACUGGGCGUAAAGGGCGCGUAGGCGGCUUAACAAGUCACUUGUGAAAUCUCCGGGCUUAACCCGGAGCGGCCAAGUGAUACUGUUGUGCUAGAGUGCGGAAGGGGCUACUGGAAUUCUCGGUGUAGCGGUGAAAUGCGUAGAUAUCGAGAGGAACACCUGCGGCGAAGGCGGGUAGCUGGGCCGACACUGACGCUGAGGCGCGAAAGCCAGGGGAGCGAACGGG